AUGGGACCCACGUUGCUCUUAUCCUCUUCCUGCUUCCUCUGGUUGAAACGUCUCGACCACACACACAUCUCAUUCCCUUCGUCACCCGUUGCCGCUGCAAUCCGUCGUCGCCUUGCAUCGCAGCUCCCGUCGCCGUCGAGCUGCAUCGCAGCACCCGCCGUAGGCGACGGCGCCGCACCGCGCACAUCCCGUGCUGCAUCGCAGCCUUUCGCCAUGGCCGCCGGCGCUGCAUCGCAGCUUUCGCCAUGGCCGCCGGCGUCAUCUCGCGCUGCAUCGCACCACCUGUCUCCGGCAACGUUUCUUCGGAGCAUCCUCCAUGACCGCCGGUGCUGCAUCGCAACUUUCGCCGUCGUCGCGCGCUGUAUUGGAGUUUCCGCCAUGGACGCGGUGCUGCAUCGCAGCACCCAUCGCUGCCAAACGUUGCACCGCAGCAUCCGCCAUGGCCAGCGCUGCAUAGAUUCCCAACUUCCGCCGUCUUCACCAUGCGCUGCGUCGCAGCACCCGUCGCUGCCAAUGGAGCUUUGCCGGUCGGUCGUCGGUGUUGCAAUGAAGCUCCGUCGAAUGCUUCAAUGGAGCUUCGUCGGAGGGCCACCAGUGCUACAAUGGAGUUUCGCCGGUGGCGGUGCUACAGGGGGAGGCACCGAGGGUGUUGCAAGGGGCCGGCUCCCCGGCCGCCCGCAGUGGUGGUUUUGGUGCCGGCGGUAG
rnacentral:rRNA from 1 species